UUACCAUAUGUUUCAUGUUGUUACUGGCACCCUAGAGAAUUGGAACAAUCAGAGUCUGACCAAAGAAUUUGGUUCGUGGCUUUGGGAGCAAGCUAAAAAUGAUCUGGCACCCAGGGGUUAAUUCUCAUGAGGAGCAAAGCAAGUCCAAUGCCUAAGGUUGCAAACAUAUUUUUGGAGUAAAUAUAAAGAAAGGCCUAGGUGCAGAAGGAUGACAUCUUUGUGGCAACGCCGCAGGAGAAGAUUUGGAAGGGAAACUGGGGUGACACAGUGGGGAAUUUAAUCCUUCUUUAGAGCAGCGUGUUCAGCAAUGGGACCUGUCUGAGGGAUAUGUUCAGCCAUGGGACCUGUUAUGCAGCCACUGCUUUCAGUCAUGUUUCUUUCCAUUCAUGGAGGUGAAACAUGGAGAAAUAUGAAAUGCCGUUUGCCUUUCAUGCCCGAAUGUUUUCCACACAUCACGUGCUGUGCAGUAGCCAGCUGAUAUAGGCAUCCAAGACACUCAUUUGUCGAUUAACCUCCUGAUUCCUCUCACUCAUAGCUU
rnacentral:lncRNA from 1 species